rnacentral:ncRNA from 1 species
UGGCCCAUGGAAGUCGGAAUCCGCUAAGGAGUGUGUAACAACUCACGGGCCGAAUGAACUAGCCCUGAAAAUGGAUGGCGCUCAAGCGUGCUACCCAUACCUCGCCGUCGGGGUAGAAACGAUGCCCCGACGAGUAGGCAGGCGUGGAGGUCCGUGACGAAGCCUUGGGAGUGAUCCCGGGUCGAACGGCCUCUAGUGCAGAUCUUGGUGGUAGUAGCAAAUACUCAAAUGAGAACUUUGAGGACUGAAGUGGGGAAAGGUUCCAUGUGAACAGCAGUUGGACAUGGGUUAGUCGAUCCUAAGGUAUAGGGAAGUUCCGUUUGAAAGGCGCCCUCGUGCGCCGUGUACCGAAAGGGAAGCCGGUUAAUAUUCCGGCACCUGGAUGUGGAUUCUCCACGGCAACGUAACUGAACGCGGAGACAUCGGCGGGGGUCCUGGGAAGAGUUCUCUUUUCUUCUUGACAGCCUAUCACCCUGAAAUCGGUUUGUCCGGAGCUAGGGUUCCACGGCUGGCAGAGCCCUGCACCUUUGCAGGGUCCGGUGCGCCCCCGACGAUCCUUGAAAAUCCGCGGGAAGGAAUAGUUUUCACGCCAGGUCGUACUCAUAACCGCAGCAGGUCUCCAAGGUGAACAGCCUCUAGUUGAUAGAACAAUGUAGAUAAGGGAAGUCGGCAAAAUGGAUCCGUAACUUCGGGAUAAGGAUUGGCUCUAAGGGUCGGGCUCGCUGGGCCUUGGGGGAAACCUCUCGGAGCAGGGGGGCACUAGC